ACACAUUUGCUCUGCCUCAUUUAAGUGUCUCUAUAAAUUCUUAAAAAAAGGAAACCAUUAAACAAAUAAUUCCUCUGCUGACUUAUCGUAUAAGUCAUGGCAGCUAGUACAACCCCAGAAAAUAAAAAUAAAUUAAGUUCACUUGUUUUAGCAGCUUUCCUUGACCUGAUCUUAGUUGUGAUUGAGAAAUUUGACUUUAUAUAAUAAAAAAAUCCAACACAUUGUCAUAUGGAACUCAAAAUAAAAUAAAUUAUGGACGAAGAAAAAAAUUAAAAUAACAAACAAAAAUGGAAUAAAUUAAGGAUUUGUCCUUUUAAAAGCGAAGAACCACCAACUUUAAGUCAUCUAUGUAGUGUUGGCCACGUUCCAGUACUUACCACAAUUUCAAUGUUUUCAUGAAGAUUUUUACACGAGGCCGCAAAAGUCUCUGAAGUCGCGUACUCAAAGUACCACAGUUUGUUCUUCAUGCGGCUGUUAAAUUUAUGUGGAUUCUUCUCACGCUCCAAAUGGAAUUUAA